rnacentral:lncRNA from 1 species
CUGAGGCCUCACUGGAAGCUGAGCAGAUGCUGGUGCCAUGCUUGUACAGUCUGCAGAACCAUGAGCCAACUACCCAGUCUCAGUAAUCAUGGAUAUGCAGAUAAUCAUGGGAGCCAGCCACCCUCCUGAGUGCCCCUAAAUAGGUUGAGAGGAGCUGGGGGCAACACAUCAGACCAUUUAUCUUUCAUCAGAACACCAUGUCAUGGCUAUGAUGCCAC